UGUCUUCGGGGCGGGGUGCAAUUCCCCACCGGUGGUUAUAGUCCACGAGCGUAACGCUGAUUCGGUGAAAUUCCGAAACCGACGGUAUAGUCCGGAUGAAAGAAGAUA
rnacentral:ncRNA from 1 species